GUGUACACUCUCUCCCCCUCUCAAAAAUAAAUAAACUUCUAAAAAAUUAAAAAUCAAUUAAAAAAAAGAAGUGCAACUUUGUACACUUGUGAUAGUACAGCUGCAAGAUAGAGUCCUGGGUAUGAUGCUUUGGUGACUAGAUAAUAUCCAUACUGACAUGCAAGGACCUCAGUUGCACAUCAUAAUCCUUGGUCCAUCUCAUUGUCAUUGGUCCUCCCAUGGCCCUCUUGUAUUUUAUGUGUUGAUCUAUGUUUGCUAAUAAUAACGCAAUAAUCAUGUUCCAGAGUUUCACAGUAAUUUCUCCCUUGCUACCUGGAAAGAUAGUAACAAUUACAAUCAAAGAAUAGGAUUUAAGAAGGCAGAGACCAGUAGCUGUUCUUGUGAGAGCCAUUGAGGGAUGCAGGCAGACGGACAGUCACCAUCUCCAGCAUUGCUGACUUCCAAACCAGAGGGAAGGAGAUGAUUGGUCCUUAGACCUUCUCUGGGGCUUAUAUGAGGCACAUUCGGUUUCCAACUGAUUCUCUGUUCAAGAUGUUUCCAAGGACAAGAGUGAAGUUAUAAUGAUGAAAAUCAUCACAAGGAUAGUAAGCCCUUUAGUGUAACUUUCCAUGUGCCAGUGCUUUCCAAAUGUUAACUGAUGUUUCUUCAGAGUGACAACUAUAAGGGUAUUUAUUCACUAUUUCCUUGUUACAAAUGAGGAAACCAAGACACAAAAGGCUUAAAUAACUUGCCCCAAGGUCACCAAAGAUCAGAAGUGAGGCAGUGAACCUCCUAGGAUGGAUAUGAUUGCUAGGGCAAUUGGUAGAAGGAAUAUUCUUAAGCAUCCCCCACUCCCAACUGCAAACCCAUAGCUACCAUAAUUUACCACAAAGCCUCUGUAUUUUAAUAAAAAAUGUUCACCCCCCCCCCACCCAAUGCCCCAUUAAUUCAGCUAGUAUUCAAUCCAAUAAACACUCAUGGAGCCAACAGUUCCUUUAAUAGACCUGAUGUGAAAAUCUUAACAUAAAAAUCAGUCACGAUGUCACCUUGGUUGAGGACCUGGUUUGUUUUUACUAACUAGUCUGCUUUCAUGGUCACUCCUAAUAAUCCCUUGAUGUUUGCUCCUCUCCAUUUUUUUUCCUCUGAAUGCUUUUAUAAAUUCACCAUGAAAAAAAUCACCUUUUAUGGUACAUCCCCCCACCCCCACCCCCCAUGUGGUAGCUUUUGAAACACGCACUAAUAUUCCUAUACCUUUAACCUUUAAAUCUAGUUAAUACUCCUUUGGCUUCAGGCUAAUUAGGGACAGUGAUGGUGCUCAUUUCUGUAUUUCUUUACAACUUGUAUCUGAGACCUGUACAACACUUUAUUAACAUUAGGCCUCACAACACCUCUGUGAAGCAGGGUGGGCAAAGGAAAAAGCAAAGAUGAAAAUAAACAAUGUGCUAAGUAUGUGCCAUAAAUCAGAAGUGACACUUCUACGUUUUCCAUUGUCAUCUUUCAGUGUAGACAUCAUCAGAGAACUUUAGCAUUGAGGACUCACCUGGUGUCCCUAUACCCUUCCUUCUCUAGUUUAAAACUUCAACUGCUGGCACUUGGCUCUCGGGCCCACUUUGUGACCCUCAGGAACUUACCUCUAGACUAAAAGCCUUUCCUUAGGGUCUGGAGCAACCCUACUACCCUUCCCUGAGUGAGGAAGAGAAUGGGACUGUCCUCAGGAUCGUCUAAAGGUACCAGUCACAUGGGAGAAAAGAGAGUGAAGAAGGGACCCCAUGUUGGUGAGAAGUGAUCCAGACCAGCCACACGUUCAACCCAGUUCCAUUGAUCUCAUACAUUGACUCAUCCCAGGCACAACCUCCACCUUCUGGUACUUAUGGCGUGGCUCUGAAGACUCCAUUUUAUCUGUAACUCACUCAAUCUUAGAGAAGAUGGGACAGAGGUGGAUUGUCUUCAGAGUUAGAGAAUGCCUCGGUGUGUGAUUGAUGUGACUGAUGAGCCCAUGAGAAGGAGGAUGGCUGGUGUGUUGAGACUGACACUCUAGUGAAGUUGGAGACAUUAAAGCUGCACAAACCCUCCUUUCCUGGGAGCUGAAGAGAGCAGGGUUCUAUGAAGACAAGCAUGAGAACCUGGAAAGCCAGGCAAUUACCUACAGUCAAAAUCAAGGUCAAGUGUUUGUCAGAGGCUAGAAUUGCAACACAAGGUAGAAUCACUCAAAUAGAUCACUGGACCACCUCUGUGGGAAACAGUUCAAAGAUCUUCAGCAUACAAGAGCAAUGUAGUUCCCUUAAGAAGAUUAGAGGAAUCAUAUAAUUAGGAGAGCUUGGAUAGAGGUGAGGCUUAACCAUGAUUUUUGGUCUGGGAAAAUCUUGAGCUGAUUUCAUUCAGCUUUUAAUUGUAGACACAGGGACUUUUCCUCCUACUGCAAUAACUUGCCAGGUGCCCAAGGGCCCCACCAUUCUUGUUGGGGGCCUACUGGUGCCCUAAGAUAUUGUUUGUUGGGUUGAUCACAUGGGGUAAGUCCAACUGUGACAUCACAGCCAAGCUGGGAGCACAGACGGCUGUUAUUCCUGCUAAACAGUCAGUGAGAAAUCCUCACCGGAUGUCAACUGGUAUAGCCCGUGGGCAUGAGUGAUGCAGAGAGUUCUGAGUAGAUUAUGGGUAUACUGUGGAUGCUGUUUCUGUUCAUGCGCAUGUGGCCCCUUCAGAUCUCGCCCUCUUGUCCCAGACUUCACCAAUUUUUUUCUCUCCCCUCUGGCUCUCUCCAACUCUUGAAGCUCAGGGAGUGGGGCUAGUGAGGGAUUGUUCUCACUCAUGACAUUGCUGCCAAAUGUUUUGUCCUUUCUGUGGGUCUUUUCCAUUUCCCUAAUGGCCUCAGCUUUUGAAACUCAAAAGUCAGGAAGAGUCUUUUCCCGGCUGUUUUCCAUUGUAACAUCCUUUCUCUGAGGCAGUCAGCAUAGAAUUGCCCAACUGCUUCAAAGAGAGUUAGGGGCAUGGGGGAAGCACCAAGGAGAGAAAGGAAAUGUUGGGAUUGAGGGAAAGCAUUGGUUAAUACAAUACAAGGAUGUCAAAUAUUUUUCUCCCACAAAUGUAAUCCCUUAGAGGCUGGUCUAAAGUUGGUUGUCUCGCUUGGGUGGAAAAACUAUCUGGGGUGGCUCUUGGCAGAUCUAUCAGACAUCUGUAUGUGAAGCAGCAGUUGGGUAUCCCAGGAUGAACACAGAGGGUAAGUAUGGCUCUGAUCAAACACAGCCAAGGAGGUGGGGGAGCAGGCAGGUGUGGGAGCAGCAGCCACCCCGUGGGCCACCUAGGACCCACAUGUGGUAGGAGAGAGUCUGGAGGGUUUCUCCCUGACUGCAAACAUCCUCACACAGCAGAAGAGCCACAAACGACCGCCAGCAUGAGCAGUGCACGUGAGGAGCUGAAAUUCCAUAACGAGACUGGGUGGGGAUAGAGAUUCUUGGAUCGGAGGCAGGGUCCUGGAUUGAGGAUGAUGUAGCCCGGGAAAACCAAGAUCCCACUAGAGCAGAAUAAAGUUGCUUUUUCCAGUUCUUGUAGUCUUGAGGGUAGUUAAGGAUGGAUUGUUUUAUGAUUCCAUCUAGUAACUGUCCAGGCUCUGUGUCUUAGCUUUAAGGUGAAGUGUUGACAUUGAAAGGAAAGAUCCUUCUGUUUAGGGAAAACUGUGGUUUACAUAAUUCCUAUAUUUAAACUUUAUCUAGAGAUAUCAAAACAACCCAGCCCUUCAAAAUGUAAUCAUCUGAGGUUGAUUUUAUAUGAGAUGAAGCAUCUAGGUGGACCUUGAUUCUUGUCCCAAUUGACUGAAUUGGCUGAACUCGGUUAAACAGAAAAUACUGGGUCAACCACAGAUACACUAUGAUUCUUGAGAAACUGACUCACCUUCUCCUGAGUUCUGCAUUGCCCAUCUGUAACAUAUGCUCCUAGGCAGCUGUUAAUGUGAACUGCCCUAAUUUAUGUGAAACGCUGUGUGAAGGAUUUCGAUUCUCUGAGUGUCUAUGCCAAUGAUGCUAUACAACACACACACACACACACACACACACACACACAAACUUGCUGAAGUCAGCCAAAGUCCACAGCCCCAAAAGGCACUUUACAAAGGGGUGAAUUAGAAGAUAAAACAAAGCUGAGAUUCUCUGAGGCAAUUUAUGGCAAUCACCAAUCCCAAAGCUCCCCAUUUAAAUUUGACUCGUUUCCAAUUUUGAAAGAUGUCAUUUGUGUAAAUGCAGGGCACAUUUGCUUCGGGGAGAGCAGAAAUGUCCCCAACUCCUGGUGGUAACGGAUACAUCUGAAAAAUGAAAUCAAAUCAAUUUUACUCCCAGGAGGGACAGGUAGAGGACUCCCAUUUCCUGCCAAAUCAGUUGGAAACAAUGAGGAGAGAGAAAAAAAAAUGGAGCCCUCCCUUCUCUUUCUGGCCUUAGACGUGAACUCUUGAUAAGAUCCUGGAAAACAAGCAGCAUUUUUAACAGCCGUUUGCCCUCUUCAGCUGAGAAAACAGCACGAGCCAAAACUAGGAACUGGGGCCACCUCUAUUGUGAAUGUGGCCAGGCUGACUUAUUGUCGCCAAACGGCAAAUCACGAAAUGACUGAGAUAAGGAAUAUAAUAACAUUUUCACAUGAACCUUACAUUCUUACCUC